rnacentral:rRNA from 1 species
UAAUGCCGGAUGCUCCAUCACACCGCAUGGUGUGUUGGGAAAGCCUUUGCGGCAUGGGAUGGGGUCGCGUCCUAUCAGCUUGAUGGCGGGGUAACGGCCCACCAUGGCUUCGACGGGUAGCCGGCCUGAGAGGGCGACCGGCCACAUUGGGACUGAGAUACGGCCCAGACUCCUACGGGAGGCAGCAGUGGGGAAUAUUGCACAAUGGGCGCAAGCCUGAUGCAGCGACGCCGCGUGAGGGAUGGAGGCCUUCGGGUUGUAAACCUCUUUUGUUAGGGAGCAAGGCAUUUUGUGUUGAGUGUACCUUUCGAAUAAGCACCGGCUAACUACGUGCCAGCAGCCGCGGUAAUACGUAGGGUGCAAGCGUUAUCCGGAAUUAUUGGGCGUAAAGGGCUCGUAGGCGGUUCGUCGCGUCCGGUGUGAAAGUCCAUCGCUUAACGGUGGAUCCGCGCCGGGUACGGGCGGGCUUGAGUGCGGUAGGGGAGACUGGAAUUCCCGGUGUAACGGUGGAAUGUGUAGAUAUCGGGAGA